GGGACUGGUGUGAAUUCUCCCGUCUCACCCCACAAAUCCUAACGGGCACCCGCGAGCUUUCUCGUCUCGACUUUCACACGUAAAUUGUGUUUUCUUUUUAAAAUGACUCGUAGCGCGAGCUCCUGGCGUCCGUGCCAGGUUGGAAUGGAGACGCUGUCCCGGGGGGAGAGAGGGGGACGGUUGAGAAUUCUCUGGAACCCCCAGCGGCGCAGACACCCACCCGCGGCUGGACGCGCGGAGCCCGCCCUGGGCCUCCCUCCCCGGCUUCAGGUCCCCGCCUCGGCCCUGCCCACCUGGGGCUGCGCUCCCUGCAAGUCUGCGGCCCCCACGCGGCCCUCGGCCCCGGCGCGGGUCUUCUGCGGACGCCUCCAGCCAGCUCCGGGUCCCUGCGCGGAGGACGCUGAUUCGUGUCGUUAAGCGGGUGAAGCGGGUGUAGACAGAGAGCCCAGGACAGCACCUGGCCCGUAGUAGAUGCCGCAAGAAACGCUUGUUGAAGGAAGGAAGGAACGAACCCACGAGCAUUGCAGGAGGAUUCCAUGAAAGAUCAAUUCAUCCCACCUCACAGUAAUAGGCACCCUGUUUCCUCCCAGCCCCGAGAUUGGAGAGUUUGUUUUCAUCCUCCUGUUGUCUGAACACAGCACAGAGCAAUCCUGAGACACAAAGCAACGUGCCUUUCGAAAUUUUUAAUAAACAUGGAAUCUUGCUAUGCUGGCCAGGCUGGUCUUGAACUGCUAGCCUCAAGCGAUCCUCCCUCCUUGGCCUCUCAAAAUGUUGGGAUUAUAGGCGUGAACCACUGUAACCAGCCUCAAGACAGACUUUCUAAGACACAAGAUUCCGCGUGUCAACUGUAUCCACGGAAACCAUUCCUUAGUUUAUUGUCACCGCCAUUCCUAACUCUGAUGUGAAAAUCCCUGCGUUCAUCAACAUAACCCAGUUAGGGUCGCACUCAUCACGGGGCCCCCAUUGCCUCUGGCGCACCCCACGACUGACAUCUGCGGGGCCUUCGCGCUAGGCUUCGAGUUUCAGCUUCCGCACCAGGCCUGCCUUUCUGCAGGGGCCAGGGUGGGGGUCGUGUGCUGAUUGGGCCCUCUGAACCGCCACCGCUGCAGAGGGGCUGUUCCUUCUGUCACAUCCCUUGUGCCCGAAUCCACCCUGUGUCUUCUCUUUUCUCAGCAGGACAUUUUAAAAGCCCAGACCCCCUCCUUACAGAGCAAAUGUCCAGGCUUCGGAGGUCACUGUCACAUCCCAAGAACCCCCUUCACCAGGUGCCACUCUUGAGACUGGACUGAAGCCCCCUGGAGAGUUCCACUUGCCUUUGUCCUGCUGCCUGAGGUGAGGACAUGGACGGCCGGGUACAAGACGGGGCAGGCAACCUCGCAGUGGUGGUAACCCUGUGCAUGAACCCUGGGCCUGGCACGUGGACCUCCUGUGACCGUCCCCACAGGCCCGUGAGGCUGAGCUUGGCACUGCCCAAGACCACACAGUCCAUGCGCGGUGGAGCUGGGGUCCAGGCUGCCCACCAGGGCAGUGACUACAAUGGUGGCAGCAGGGGACGGUCACCGUCAUGAGCUCAAGCCAGGCGCUGCACUGACCUUGAGGGAGGGCUCCAUGCUUCCCCUUCCCACAGCUGCAGUGAGGCCUAGCAGAGCAGGGUCGGCUGCGGGCUUGAGUCCUGGGGUGCCCCUGGGCUGACGGGCCCUGCCUGACCUGCUCCUCCAGUGCCCCAGCCCUGCCCCACCCACGUCCCCUCCUCUCACUGCCCCCUGGCCCACUCCGCUGCGGUCUCAGUGCCUUCCCAGGCUGGGCAUCAUCUGAUGGGAGGAAAAUGAGGGCCCCAGACUCUGUGUCAUCCUGGCAGGACCCCUCCCCUCCCAUGGCUUUGAGCCCAUGAGAUGGCCUUGGACAAAGCGGCAAUGGGCCCUUCCUGAGACACAGUGCGGCCAUCUACUGGAAAACUGCCCAGUGUGACUCUGAUGACUGUGAUGUGAAUCCUACAGCAAAGUUGAGCAGUGCGCAACCUGGGCUACUGCACCUGGCAGCCCCGGCUCCUCCUCGUCUGCCUCUUCCUGCUCCUUCAUUCUCCCCCAGAGCUCUAAUUGUCACUGAGAUUUUAUGUUUCAUUUAACAAAUGACUGUCUCCCCGCUUGAACAGAACCUCCAUGGGGGGAGGGAAGAGUGUCUGUUGUAUAAAUAGUUGUAUUUCAGUGCAUAAAACAGUGCCUGCCUCAAAGGGAGGACUCAGUCAAUAUCUGUUGAAUGAAUGAAUGAAUAAUUGCCUGGGUCAACGAAUGAAUGGCUGAAUGAAUGAUUUCUCCUUUCCCUCGGCACUGUCUGGAGUCCCCAGGACAGGCAUGGGCAGCAGUCGCUGGUCUGUGGCCUGUCCCACUGGACUUGGGGUUCUCAUGCUUGGUCUGGGCGGAGAUCACCCACCAGGCUCCCAGGUCGAUCCUCUGCUCAUGGGAAGCUGCGUC
rnacentral:lncRNA from 1 species